rnacentral:rRNA from 1 species
GAUGAACGCUGGCGGCGUGCCUAACACAUGCAAGUCGAACGGACAGACGAUGAGCUUGUGCUUUUGCCGUUAGCGGCGGGCGGGUGAGUAACGCGUGGAUCACCCACUUAUAUUUCGGGGAUAAUUACGGAAAACCGGAUACAAUACCACAGCAUAUAUUGUACCGCAGGGUGCAAUGGAGAAUGACGGCUUUGGCGUUUGUAAUAGCCGGUUCCGCGCCGGAUUAGCUGGUUGGUAAGGUAACGGCCUACCAAGGCGACGAUGCGUAGCUGAGCUGAGAGGAUGAUCGGCCACACUGGAACUGAGACACGGUCCAGACUCCUACGGGAGGCAGCAGUGGGGAAUCUUGGGCAAUGGGCGCAAGCCUGACGCAGCAACACCGCGUGGGUGAUGAAGGCCUUCGGGUCGUAAAGCUCUGUUGUUGGGGAAGAACAGCUGUGGGAUAAGACCUGGCCGUCUUGACGGUACCUAAUCAAGAAGCACCGGCUAACUACGUG